rnacentral:snRNA from 2 species
AGCUUUGAGCAGUGGCAGUAUCAUAGCCAAUGAGGUUUAUCCGAGGCACGAUUAUUGCUAAUUAAUAUAUAUAUUAAUAUAUAUAUAAUGUGUGUGUGUAUACACACAUAAAAUUCGUGAAUUUCUACAUGCGUA